rnacentral:rRNA from 1 species
GAUGAACGCUCGCGAUAGGCUUAACACAUGCAAGUCGAGGGGCAGCAUGGUCUUAGCUUGCUAAGACUGAUGGCGACCGGCGCACGGGUGCGUAACGCGUAUGCAACUUGCCUCACAGAGGGGGAUAACCCGUCGAAAGACGGACUAAUACCGCGUACACUCCAUCUUGGGCAUCCAAGGUAGAGGAAAUGAAAUUCGCUGUGAGAUAGGCAUGCGUCCCAUUAGCUAGUUGGUGAGGUAACGGCUCACCAAGGCGACGAUGGGUAGGGGAACUGAGAGGUUGAACCCCCACACUGGUACUGAGACACGGACCAGACUCCUACGGGAGGCAGCAGUGAGGAAUAUUGGUCAAUGGGCGAGAGCCUGAACCAGCCAAGUCGCGUGAAGGAUGACUGUCUUAUGGAUGGUAAACUUCUUUUAUACGGGAAUAACAAGAGUCACGUGUGACUCCCUGCAUGUACCGUAUGAAUAAGCAUCGGCUAACUCCGUG